rnacentral:misc_RNA from 1 species
GCUUACGCUGCAAAUUGCUAUGUGCUAAAUUUUUCAGCCUAAGGAUUGGUUGAGUCAACCGGGAAAAGUACAAUUUGAGAAGAAAGCAGAAAGGGAUAGAGUAAAGACAUAAGAAGAAAGGAAGCAGGUGAAGUGGUUAAAGAAAAUUCUUCUGAAAAAAAACAUUCUACUCCAAAUCGAAUAUCCCAAAUUUGAAGAGUUAGAAAUUAGAUUCCAUAAAGCAUAUGAAUUUAUUAUCUGCUAUUGUCUCCAUAGAGGGAUUUUAAUUUGGUGAAUAGAGAUUAAAAAAAUUGUCAGUUAGGUCAAUUAGCCUCAGCAAUGUUAUAUCACAGACAAUUCAAAUCAUCCAAUCACCUUAUAACUUUUAGGUUUAAACCAUGCCUGCACAUUCUAUUGAAUGUACCAGUAGUAUCUAAUAGCAAUCCAAUCUAAUUACGAAUAACAACAGAAAGGAAUAAUAUUAACAUCUGAUAUACUUCAAACCAUCCAAAAUUUAGCACUUAAUGAGCUGAUCUAGUGGUUAUUUUAAGUAUCUAAAGUAAUAUAAGUUGAACCAGAAAUUACAAUUUCAUUGCUGAAAUUUCCCAAUUAUCAAAUAAAAAGAAAAAAACUAAAUUUAAUGUAAACUACAUAGCAACUUGAGGAAAAGAUCAUCCACAAUAAUAUAAUAAAUGAAUAACUAAAAAGA